CUUUAUGUCAAGGGGGAGUAGCUAUAGGGAAACCUAUUUCACAGUCGUCAUUACAUGGUUCGGAGCCAUCGGUUGUGAUAGCAAUCAAUUUUGCUUAGCGAGACCUUUGCCUUUUAU
rnacentral:misc_RNA from 1 species